rnacentral:lncRNA from 1 species
CCCGCCUCUGGCGCGUCGCGGGCUGCUGACGUAAUGCGGUAGCGCGGGGAAUUUCGAGUGGUGUUGGAGCGCCGGAGGCUAGUGGGUGGCUGACCCCCAGCAUCCUCGGGAGCGACCAUGGACUCCCUGGCCGAGUCUCGGUGGCCUCCGGGCCUGGCAGUCAUGAAGACUGCUCUCUCUGUAUAAGAAAAUUUCUGUCCUAUAAAACUCAGUGUCCAACUUGCUGUGUGACUGUCACAGAGCCGGAUCUGAAAAAUAACCGCAUAUUAGAUGAACUGGUAAAAAGCUUGAAUUUUGCACGGAAUCAUCUGCUGCAGUUUGCUUUAGAGUCACCAGCCAAAUCUCCUGCUUCUUCCUCUUCAAAGAAUCUUGCUGUCAAAGUAUAUACUCCUGUAGCCUCCAGACAGUCUUUAAAGCAGGGGAGCAGGUUAAUGGAUAAUUUCUUGAUCAGAGAAAUGAGUGGUUCUACAUCAGAGUUGUUGAUAAAAGAAAAUAAAAGCAAAUUCAGCCCUCAAAAAGAGGCGAGCCCUGCUGCAAAGACCAAAGAGACACGUUCUGUAGAAGAGAUCGCUCCAGAUCCCUCAGAGGCUAAG